rnacentral:rRNA from 1 species
CACCCGUACCCCAAACCGACUCAGGUGAUCAGGUAGAGAAUACUAAGGAGAUCGAGAGAAUCGUGGUUAAGGAACUCGGCAAAAUGCCCCCGUAACUUCGGGAGAAGGGGGGCCCGAGGCGUGUAGGAAUUUACUUCUGAAGCGCUGUAGGGCCGCAGAGACCAGUGGGAAGCGACUGUUUAUUAAAAACACAGGUCCGUGCUAAGUCGCAAGACGAUGUAUACGGACUGACGCCUGCCCGGUGCUGGAAGGUUAAGAGGAAGGGUUAGCGUAAGCGAAGCUCAGAAUUUAAGCCCCAGUAAACGGCGGUGGUAACUAUAACCAUCCUAAGGUAGCGAAAUUCCUUGUCGGGUAAGUUCCGACCUGCACGAAUGGCGUAACGACUUCCCAGCUGUCUCAACCGCGAACUCGGCGAAGUUGCACUACGAGUAAAGAUGCUCGUUACGCGCAGAAGGACGGAAAGACCCCGUGACCUUUACUACAGUUUGGUAUUGGUGUUCGGGGUGGCUUGUGUAGGAUAGGUGGGAGACUGUGAAGCUUGGACGCUAGUUCAGGUGGAGUCAUUGUUGAUAUACCACUCUGGUCACUUUGGAUAUCUAACUACGAACCCUGAUCGGGUUCUGGGACAGUGCCUGAUGGGUAGUUUAACUGGGGCGGUUGCCUCCCAAAAAGUAACGGAGGCGCCCAAAGGUUCCCUCAACCUGGUUGGUAAUCAGGUGGCGAGUGUAAGUGCACAAGGGAGCUUGACUGUAAGACUGACAAGUCGAGCAGGGACGAAAGUCGGGACUAGUGAUCCGGCAGUGGCUUGUGGAAGCGCUGUCGCUCAACGGAUAAAAGGUACCUCGGGGAUAACAGGCUGAUCUUGCCCAAGAGUCCAUAUCGACGGCAUGGUUUGGCACCUCGAUGUCGGCUCGUCGCAUCCUGGGGCUGGAGUAGGUCCCAAGGGUUGGGCUGUUCGCCCAUUAAAGCGGUACGCGAGCUGGGUUUAGAACGUCGUGAGACAGUUCGGUCCCUAUCCUCUGCGCGCGCAGGAAAUUUGAGAGGAUCUGACCCUAGUACGAGAGGACCGGGUUGGACGAACCUCUGGUGUGUCAGUUGUUCCGCCAGGAGCACCGCUGAUUAGCUACGUUCGGAAUGGAUAACCGCUGAAAGCAUCUAAGCGGGAAGCCGGCCUCAAGAUGAGAUUUCCAUACCCUUCGGGGUGAGAGACUCCCAGCUAGACUACUGGGUAGAUAGGCAGGAUGUGGAAGAGCGGACUAAAGACGCUUGGAGCUGACCUGUACUAAUAAGUCGAUAAC